rnacentral:rRNA from 1 species
AUUGAACGCUGGCGGCAGGCUUAACACAUGCAAGUCGAGCGGAGUGAUGGUGCUUGCACUAUCACUUAGCGGCGGACGGGUGAGUAAUGCUUAGGAAUCUGCCUAUUAGUGGGGGACAACAUCUCGAAAGGGAUGCUAAUACCGCAUACGUCCUACGGGAGAAAGCAGGGGAUCACUUGUGACCUUGCGCUAAUAGAUGAGCCUAAGUCGGAUUAGCUAGUUGGUGGGGUAAAGGCCUACCAAGGCGACGAUCUGUAGCGGGUCUGAGAGGAUGAUCCGCCACACUGGGAAUGAGACACGGCCCAGACUCCUACGGGAGGCAACAGUGGGGAAUAUUGGACAAUGGGGGGAACCCUGAUCCAGCCAUGCCGCGUGUGUGAAGAAGGCCUUAUGGUUGUAAAGCACUUUAAGCGAGGAGGAGGCUCUUUUGGUUAAUACCCAAGAUGAGUGGACGUUACUCGCAGAAUAAGCACCGGCUAACUCUGUGCCAGCCGCCGCCGUAA